UGAGUAACACGUAUCCAACCUGCCGUCUACUCUUGGACAGCCUUCUGAAAGGAAGAUUAAUACAAGAUGGCAUCAUGAGUCCACAUGUUCACAUGAUUAAAGGUAUUCCGGUAGACGAUGGGGAUGCGUUCCAUUAGAUAGUAGGCGGGGUAACGGCCCACCUAGUCUUCGAUGGAUAGGGGUUCUGAGAGGAAGGUCCCCCACAUUGGAACUGAGACACGGUCCAA
rnacentral:rRNA from 1 species